rnacentral:rRNA from 1 species
AUUGAACGCUGGCGGCAGGCCUAACACAUGCAAGUCGAACGAGUGGCGGACGGGUGAGUAAUGUCUGGGAAACUGCCCGCUGGAGGGGGUUAACUACUGGAAACGGUAGCUAAUACCGCAUACCAUCGGAUGUGCCCCGAGGGGAUUUGCUAGUAGGUGGGGUGACGGCUCACCUAGGCGACGAGCCCUAGCUGGUCUGAGAGGAUGACCAGCCCGACUGGACCUGAGACACGGUCCAGACUCCAACGGGAGGCAGCAGUGGGGAAUAGUGCACAAUGGGCGCAAGCCUGAUGCAGCCAGGCCGCAUGUAUGAAGAAGGCCGUCGGGUUGUAAAGUACUUUCAGCGAGGAGGCGUUACUCGCAGAAGAAGCACCGGCUAACUCCGUGCCAGCAGCCGCGGUAAUUC